rnacentral:rRNA from 1 species
AACGAACGCUGGCGGCAGGCCUAACACAUGCAAGUCGAGCGCUCUCUUCGGAGGGAGCGGCGGACGGGUUAGUAACGCGUGGGAAUGUACCCUUCUCUAAGGAAUAGCCAUUGGAAACGAUGAGUAAUACCUUAUACGCCCCCGGGUCAAACUCGGGGGGAAAGAUUUAUCGGAGAGGGAUCAGCCCGCGUAAGAUUAGAUAGUUGGUGGGGUAAUGGCCUACCAAGUCUACGAUCUUUAGCUGGUUUUAGUAGGAUGAUCAGCAACACUGGGACUGAGACACGGCCCAGACUCCUACGGGAGGCAGCAGUGGGGAAUCUUGGACAAUGGGCGCAAGCCUGAUCCAGCCAUGCCGCGUGAGGUGAUGAAGGCCUUAGGGUCGUAAAGCUCUUUCGCCAGAGAUGAUAAUGACAGUAUCUGGUAAAGAAGUCCCGGCUAACUCCGUG